AGUUAAAUGGUGGGUGUUGAACUUGAACCCAGGUUGUUUGACCCCUGUGUUCACCACACCAUCACACCCACACUGAAUUGAAAGAAGAGCCUCUUUGGACUGUGGUACACCCACAUUCCUAUCCCGCGCUGCCUCACAGUUGGGCAGACACAAAGUAGAUGACUACUUGCUUCAAGGGUCCUUCAGAGAAGAAACAACAGCGGCAUCCACCAAUUAUUCUCCUUCCCUGGAAGCGUGGAACACUGGGACACGAUACCCCCUUUUUCAAGGCUAAAGAAUAUGGAAAACAUUGGAAUAUGUAA
rnacentral:lncRNA from 1 species